ACAAUAUUUUGCUCAAGUUGCAGAUUAAGGUGCUACACAUAAGCUGAUGCAAGCAUCAUGUGAUCCGAGUAUUUGUUUAACUUAUUUCCAAAGCUUUCAAAUAUUAACCUGGUCCGUACUCGUUUCCAUUGUUGUUCCAAUAAUGAUAGUUUACUACAGCGCAAACAUUCAGACAAAACACGAUAUAAAACUAACUACACUAGUCUUCUAUUUGUCAAAAACUGCAACGUAUUUUUUUCUUUGUUGCUGAUUAAAGCCUGCCCUUGCAACUUGACUUAUGUGAAUACAGUUUUGGACGCAAGUGAAGAAUUUUACGGCAUGUUACAGAAUACAGAUUAGGCUUGUGGACAGUGUUAGAUUUGAUGUUGUUUUUUAAAGAGAAGGGAUUAGUGGUUGGUUCUUAGUUGUUACGUUUAGUGGCUAGCAGAUAAUAUAAGGGAAGGAUUUUUCGCUAGCACCAACAUUUAUUUUGUUCUUAGACCACAUAAGACAUUUUUAUGUUUAUUUGAUAAAUGUAUUUGUUAAGAGUUGUUCUGUUGUUUGGGCUACAUGUAUUGUGUGUGCCUGCUGAAUUAACCAAACCAAACAUAGUGUUUAUAUUGGCGGAUGAUUAUGGUUUCAAUGACAUCGGAUAUCAUGCUGUGGAGCACCAUUCCGACAUGAAAACACCUUUUCUGGAUUCAUUGGCCAUGGCAGGGGUUCGGUUGGAAAAUUACUACAUUCAACCGAUUUGUUCACCUUCCAGGAGUGUAUUGAUGAGUGGCAGGUAUCAAAUACACACUGGGUUACAGCAUUAUGUUAUAUCACCCCAGCAAAGAAAUGGUUUACCUCUGGAUAAUAUAAUAUUACCAGAACAACUACAUAAAUGUGGCUAUGACACGCAUAUGGUGGGAAAAUGGCAUCUAGGAUUUUAUAAGGAUGAGUAUCUUCCAUGGAAACGAGGAUUUAACUCAUAUUUCGGUUAUUUAACUGGUGGUGAAGAUUAUUAUACAAAAUGGAGAUGUGAUGGAAAGUUAUGUGGAUAUGAUAUGACAUCAGAAAAAGGCCCCACAAAUGCAACAUACGGUCAGUACUCGGCCAACCUUUUUGCAAAUAAAGCAAACGAAGCAAUAGAUAAACAUGACAAAACAAAACCAUUGUUCUUGUAUGUUGCAUUCCAGUCUGUUCAUUCACCAAUGGAAGUGCCAGAAUCUUAUGCAAAGCCGUUUGAUUAUAUCAAAAACCAUAACAGAAAGAUGUAUGGUGGCAUGGUCGCAGCUAUGGACGAAGCUGUUAAGAACAUCACUGAGCAUUUACAAGCGGCUGGGCUGUGGGAUAAUACCAUUUUGGUAUUUUCUGCUGAUAAUGGCGGCCAGACAUUGUCUGGGGGGAACAACUGGCCAUUACGUGGUAGGAAGCUUACUUUAUGGGAAGGUGGAAUCAAAGGGGUUGGUUUUGUGCAUGGAAAAAUACUAAACGUACCAAAUCCAAAUUAUAUUGUUAAUAAUGAAAUGAUUCAUAUAUCAGAUUGGUUUCCAACCAUAAUGGAAGCAACGCAAUGUCCUUAUGUCGAAGGAACACAGAAACUAGAUGGUGUAAACCAAUGGGAUACAAUUUUUGGAAAAACUGUUUCAGCAAGGAAAGAAAUUCUUCUGAAUAUUGACCCUUUAUUCACCCCGUUGUUUUAUAAAGAAACUCCAAAACAAAAUAUUCAAAUGGGGUUCGAUACUUCAGUUCAUGCUGGAAUUAGAUAUGGGGAGUGGAAACUUUUAACGGGUUUGCAAGGAGAUGACAGAUGGAUUGAACCUCCAGAGUGGAAGAACAAAGCAGAGGAGGAACAACAAGAAGACACUGAACAUCCAGGGUUUCAAAAGUUUGCAACAAAAUCAGUUCAAUUAUACAACAUUGUUAAUGAUCCAUAUGAACAAGUGGAAGUGUCUGAUCUUUAUCCAAGUGUUGUUAAUGACCUGUUAAGUAAAUUAGCUGCAUACAACGCAACAGCUGUUCCCGUCAACUACCCACCAAGUGAUCCAACUUCAGAUCCAAGUUUGCAUGGGGGCUUUUGGGGGCCUUGGGUCAAAAAUUAACCCAACUUGAGCAUUGUCAAAAUAGCCUUAUCAUUUAAGAAUCUUGUGAUUAUUUUUCAUUAGUUUUACAACAAUUUUGUUCUUAGAAAUAAUAGUUGUAGUAUACUAUCCAUCUAUUCUAUAUGGGUAAGGUCCUUGAGGACCAAAGUCAAGAAUUUAGGCCCGAUUUAGCCCAUUUUUCCCACACCAAGGCUGCUUAUGUACAUUCGAAUGGAUGGUGCUCGGUGCUAUCAUGGGACCAAUGCGACUUAGUCUCCCUGACUUUAUCUAGGCGACUCCAUUUGCAGAACUCAGUCGGACGCCAUAUGUUAUUAUUCAUUACUUCAUAUAUUAGAAGCUAUCUCCAAUUAUUUGCUUUUUCUUUUACUCUUUGGAUUACUUACUCUAUAUCUGUACUCUGUAGUGAAGUUGAAUUCUAUGCAACAAUCCACUAUUUCCGUGCUUCUUAUAAGUAGUUUUGAAAAGUCGAUCGCCACAAGGUUAAGAAGCACUUUUUAUGUGCAUGUACUACUAUUAAUUUAUUACAAAUAUUUCAUGUAUGCUACCAUAAAUAUUAAAUGUUCCUUGAUUUACACUGGAUUGUCAAUUAGUGAAGGGCUUACAUACUUGGGGCAUAAUAGUGCCUGAAUCAAAUUCAACGGCAGGACUAAGCAUAUCACAACAAUGGGUUAAAGCCUCUUCUAAGCUACCAUUAUGGGCAUACGUAUCCUUGGUCAAGACACUCAACGGCAAUUGCUUCAACCCAGUGGCUACAAAUGGGAUGUCUAACUCUUCACCUAUAUACAAAAAGCAAUGUCACUUAAAGUUACAUACAGGGUAACUCGUAAGCGGGACAAGAGAAUGCCCUUCCUGGGUACUAAAACGUAAUCCAACUAGACGGUUUCUUUGAAAUUUUGUAUCAACUGACUAAAUAACGUCAUAGUUUUUGUGCUCCCUUGUUAUUAUAUCAUAAGACAUAAGUAAAUACACAUUUUAUCAUAAUGUCCUAA